UAUCAUUGUAUGUUUGGACAUUUUGCUCUAACUGGAGCAAUUUGUGCGGUCCUGGAAAAACAAAUUGUGGAUGGUUACAAUGUAUAUGCAGCUGUUGUUCAUUUUGCUGGAUGGAUUUUGGCACUUCUUUUAGGAUGCGUUGGAGGACAACACCUUCUGGAUGCAAGCGAGAUUAUACCAGGAGCUAUAUGGAGUUCAAAUUGGUACAUGAUGCCCGCAAAAGUACAGAAAGAUGUACUUUUUAUGCUUGUAAACUCGCAAAACAAGUUUUUCAUCAGAACCGGCCCGUUUGGUAUACUGUGUUUACCACUUUUUGUUUCGGUGCUAAAAGCAUCAUAUUCAAUUCUUUGUAUGUUUUGAUGGACAUUACCAGUGUAUGGAGUGUGAUAUUUGGUAGAUAAUACUUAUAAUUUACAAAAAUGUGAUAUUAUAAAAUUGCUAACAGGUGAACAGAAUAAGCCACCAAAGCACCUAAAA